rnacentral:rRNA from 1 species
UGGGGAAUUUUGCGCAAUGGGCGAAAGCCUGACGCAGCGACGCCGCGUGGGUGAUGAAGGCCUUCGGGUUGUAAAGCCCUGUGGGGAGGGAAGAAUAAGGGGCGGCUAAUACCCGCACCGAUGACGGUACCUCCUUAGCAAGCACCGGCUAACUCUGUGCCAGCAGCCGCGGUAAGACAGAGGGUGCAAACGUUGUUCGGAAUUACUGGGCGUAAAGCGCGUGUAGGCGGUUUAGCAAGUCGGAUGUGAAAGCCCUUGGCUCAACUGGAGAAGUGCAUUCGAAACUGCACGACUUGAGUCCCGGAGAGGAUGGUGGAAUUCUCGGUGUAGAGGUGAAAUUCGUAGAUAUCGAGAGGAACACCGGUGGCGAAGGCGGCCAUCUGGACGGUGACUGACGCUGAGACGCGAAAGCAUGGGGAGCAAACAG